CAAGGAAUCCAGGGCUACUCGGGAUUAAGUGACUUGCCCAAGGCCAUGAGGUCACAGUGAUGCAGUCCAGCACUCUUCCUAUGGCACCCCAGUGUCUCUCAAUAUGGCUGUGCUGUCCGCACAGACGGGCUGAUCCCACCACCCUCCCCAGUUUCUAUCCCUGCUUCUAAAACCUGCAACUUGUCCUGUAAGCCAUCUUAGCACCUGCCUCUGGCUUCUAAGCAAACUUCAGGGCUAGGCUGUCCAUCCCAUCAUAGAUCCUUCUGUCAGUUAAAUCCUAAGUCAUUAAACAAGCAUUUUCCCCUGAGCCUAUAUGUGGUUAUAGCAACUUAAGUAAAAAAUACAUUUGUUCAUGGUGGAAAAGUGGUAUAACCAUAAGACAUAUGUAAUUUGUUGGGAAACAGCCUCUCUAUUCUUACUUUCAAAUGUCACAGUGAAUACUUGAAACUAAACUAUGCCGCUGGAAAGCUGGAGUUAAGAAUUUACUUGGAAACCUUAAACAUGGGUAAUUUUGGUUAGUAGCCAUUCUGUGACUUUGCUUAGACAUGACAGGUUAAGGGCUGUAGGGCCCAAGGCAGAGUUGACAGACACAAGCCCUCUCUCACCUCCUCAUCUGCAUAGGAAGGAUAAAUCCCUGUCCUGUAGGCUCCCAAUGGUCCUGCCCACAGGGUAAUUGCAGAGAAGAUAUUCUCUGAUGAGAUCAACCCAUGCAAGGCAGAACUACCAAUAUCUGUACUGCCAGAGAGACUCCCCUUAUUCCACAGUGAAUCUGAGCAGUACUAGACUCUCUCUUUACCUCUGACCAAAUACAGAUUGCAGUUCAAUUUGGAUCUGGAAAAACUGGUGGUGUAGUGGAAAGAACAAGUCUGUGGAGAUCCUGAGUUUCAACCCUGGUUAAUAAAUUCUACUAAACAUAUUUGGUUAGUGAUCUCGGGCAAAUUACUUAACUUCUUUGGGUCUCAGUCUCCACAUUAAUGCUGCUGCAGCGAGGGGCGAUGAUUCUGAAGCUUCAUAUCUUCAGAACGGUAGAUGCUAAGCACUGAAUGGUGCCUUUCAUGAACAUGGCUUUACCUUGGCUUCAAAACAACCCUAUGAGUCCCCAGGUGUGGUUUCGAGAAGAGGCUUCAGGAAGGGAAAGCUGACCAGGGAGAUGGUUUCUGAAAGGAUGUGUCUUUCUGGACCAGAGGAAACAAGCCACAAGCUGGGUGGAAGACAAGCCAUACGCCUGCUGUAGAAAUAUUCCUGCUCCAUGUUUCCUUUUUGCCCUCUGGACUGAGUCCUUUUGACGAAAGAACACUCAGAACCUGCUGAGCUUUGGGCUGGCACUGGGAUUCACUCACUCUCAGACAAAGCCUCGGAUGCACAGCAGUGGUUCCGGUUGGGUCUUCACCUCCUCUCCUCUGGAACAGCGUGUGCAUCAAAACAGUGAGAGCCCACAGCGCCUCCUUGUGGACUAUCUGAUAAACUGGAACCAGUUCUCGCAGGGCUGAAGGACGGUGGUCACCUAGAGGCAUUGCCCAGGAUCUGCACUGCGCUGUCCACCCAGGAAUUACUCUGUUUUCUUCUACUUUUAAAUAAAUUUGGGAGAUGGGCUGGGUGUGGUGGCUCACACCUGUAAUUUCAGCGUUUUGGAAGACCGAGGCGGGAGGACGGCGUGGGACCAGGAGUUCAUGACUGGCCUGGGCAACACAGUGAGACCCUGUCUCUAUUUUAAACAACGACAACAACAUAUUUAAAAAAUAAAAAUAAGAAAAUAAAUUUGGAAGAUGAACACAUUCUAUUUUAAUUCUGUUAGUGAUCAGUAAAACUGGCUUAAAAGCUGAGUUUCCUUUGGUUCCCUUUUGUUUUAUAAAAAAUGUCUGUGUGUACCUUUGUCAACAGCCUGAAUCCUAUGAAUCACAGGUUCCCCUGGGGAAGAUGGGGGUUUGAGUUUGGUUUCUUACUUGUGUUUAUAGGGUUCUGGGCAACUUGGGAGGGCGAGACACUAUGCCCUCAUGGGAUAACACUAAUU
rnacentral:lncRNA from 1 species